UACGGAGGAUCCAAGCGUUAUCCGGAAUCAUUGGGUUUAAAGGGUCCGUAGGCGGUUUGGUAAGUCAGUGGUGAAAGCCCAUCGCUCAACGGUGGAACGGCCAUUGAUACUGCCAGACUUGAAUUAUUAGGAAGUAACUAGAAUAUGUAGUGUAGCGGUGAAAUGCUUAGAGAUUACAUGGAAAUACCAAUUGCGAAGGCAGGUUACUACUAAUGGAUUGACGCUGAUGGACGAAAGCGUGGGUAGCGAACAGG
rnacentral:rRNA from 1 species